GUGCUCGCUUCAGCAGCACAUAUACUAAAAUUGGAACGAUACAGAGAAGAUUAGCAUGGCCCCUGCACAAGGAUGACACGCAAAUUCGUGAAGCAUUCCAUAUUUUU
ensembl:snRNA Gm24856 predicted gene, 24856